UACGUAGGGGGCUAGCGUUAUCCGGAAUUACUGGGCGUAAAGGGUGCGUAGGUGGUUUCUUAAGUCAGAGGUGAAAGGCUACGGCUCAACCGUAGUAAGCCUUUGAAACUGGGAAACUUGAGUGCAGGAGAGGAGAGUGGAAUUCCUAGUGUAGCGGUGAAAUGCGUAGAUAUUAGGAGGAACACCAGUUGCGAAGGCGGCUCUCUGGACUGUAACUGGCACUGAGGCACGAAAGCGUGGGGAGCAAACAGG
rnacentral:rRNA from 1 species